rnacentral:rRNA from 1 species
CGCUGGCGGCGCGCCUAACACAUGCAAGUCGAGCGAGAACCGGAGCUUCGGCUCCNGGGGACAGCGGCGAACGGGUGAGUAACACGUGGAUAACCUGCCCUCGGCACCGGAAUAGCCCGGGGAAACCCGGAUUAAUGCCGGAUGGCCCCACAUCCCUGCGGGGAACGUGGGAAAAGGUAGCUUCGGCCUCUGGCCGAGGAUGGGUCCGCGGUGGAUUAGCUUGUUGGUGGGGUAAUGGCCCACCAAGGCGACGAUCCAUAGCUGGUCUGAGAGGACGAUCAGCCACACUGGGACUGAGACACGGCCCAGACUCCUACGGGAGGCAGCAGUGGGGAAUCUUGCGCAAUGGGCGAAAGCCUGACGCAGCGACGCCGCGUGCGGGAAGAAGGCCUUAGGGUUGUAAACCGCUUUCAGGAGGGACGAAGCCACUCGGGUGAAUAGCCCAGAGGGUGACGGUACCUCCAGAAGAAGCCCCGGCUAACUACGUGCCAGCAGCCGCGGUAAUACGUAGGGGGCAAGCGUUGUCCGGAUUCAUUGGGCGUAAAGGGCGUGUAGGCGGCCAGGUAGGUCGGUUGUGAAAACUGGAGGCUCAACCUUCAGAGGUCGA